UGCGAUCUAAUAAAAGAGGAAGAGGUUGUAAUAGUAACGAAGGAGAGAUCAAGAGAAAGGUGAUGGUGUGUUUCAAGUAUAACGAUGAGUAAUUUAUAAACGAGGGAUAUGUACCUUAAGUGAUGACGGAUGGCUGAUAUUGUGAACCAGCGCACAUAAUCAUGAUAGGCGAUCCAACAUGCAGUAACUAAGAAUUAAUACUUCAAGAAGAAAAACAUGCAAUUACAUCUUAUGUGCGUGCAGACUAAUGUAUCCAACACCUAACAGUGUCCAGGAUCAUGUUUACUAUUCAACAUAGCAUUUCAAAAAGGUAACCUUUUCUAUUAAUAAUGAAGUAUGUCUUUAUAAUAAAUUACAUGCUAUUGUAAUGGUUAUGUGGAUAACUAUUCAUUAUAAACAUCCAUGCCACUAUGCACAUCUUCAGGGCUGGCCCGGAUAAGCCUAACGAAACAUUCGCUUUAGACCCCUAAAAUUUUUGAAAAUUUUUAUAUCGAUAUAAAUUUUCAAAUUUAUAAAAUAAAAUAAAAAAAUUCCCAAAUUAUUGAAUUUUCUCUUUAUUCGUUUAUGGUUUCCAAAAUCUUAAAGCCGGCUCUACAAAUCAUAUUAGAAACUUGUAUGAAAUUGAAUACUUUAACAUGUAGGUUUACAUUUUAGUGAUUAUAUAGUGGGUGGGGUUAGGUUUAUAAAUUUUUAUAAAUAAUUCUUAAAUAUUUAUAAAUGAUAAGAAGAAUUCAGAAAAAACAUUUAUAAUUAAUUACGAGAAUUACUUUUAUCUUGAUUUCAAAGUAUGUUUUAAAAUAAUAAUUUUUUAAAAAUAAAUUCGAAAAAUAAUAUCAAAUUUGAGCUAAAAUUAUAAGAAAUUAUAAUUCCCCCAUAUUAACCAAUAUCACUGCUUGCAGUUUGGUUGGGUGAUGGGACGUACUCUUUUUAUUCACAAUAUUUUUCAGGCUAAUGUACCCGAUCAAUUUUAAUUGUCUUUUGGAAACUAUAGUUCUUUUUUUGACUGAAUGGAAACUAUAGUUCUUUAUUCUCUCGUAACAUAUUUCCUAUGAAAGUAUGAUUACAAAUUAAGAAAAUCCAGGUUCUUAUUUUCUUAGUCAGAAGUUUGAAAUUUUUUCAAAAUUCUCAUGAUCAUUUGAAAGUCCUAUUAGAUAUUAGUAAUAAUACCCGAUAAGAUAUAAAUAACAUGAAUGCAGAAAAAAUAUAUUACUUGCUUUUAUAGCUCUAUAUGGUAUCAACAUCUGUGCAAUAUCAACGUCUAUGAUUUCUUAAAUUCUAUGAGGGGUGUAUAUACACUAAUAGAAGGAAUAACUAGAGGUUUUAUGCAGUAUCAACGUCUAUGAUUUAUUAAAUUCUUUGGAGAUGUAUUCGACUAAAAAUUUGAGGUGAUUUAUAUUAAUACAAA